AGCUAUCGCGUUGGGAUGGGCCCAGUUAGAAUUAGCUAGUUGGUAAGGUAAUGGCUUACCAAGGCAACGAUCCUUAGCUGGUUUGAGAGGAUGAUCAGCCACACUGGGACUGAGACACGGCCCAGACUCCUACGGGAGGCAGCAGUGGGGAAUAUUGCACAAUGGGGGAGACCCUGAUGCAGCCAUGCCGCGUGUGUGAAGAAGGCCUUCGGGUUGUAAAGCACUUUCAGCAGUGAGGAAGGUCGUGUACUUAAUACGUGCACGGCUUGACGUUAGCUGCAGAAGAAGCACCGGCUAACUCCGUGCCAGCAGCCGCGGUAAUACGGAGGGUGCGAGCGUUAAUCGGAAUUACUGGGCGUAAAGCGCAUGCAGGCGGUUUGUUAAGUCAGAUGUGAAAGCCCGGGGCUCAACCUCGGAACCGCAUUUGAAACUGGCAGGCUAGAGUCUUGUAGAGGGGGGUAGAAUUUCAGGUGUAGCGGUGAAAUGCGUAGAGAUCUGAAGGAAUACCAGUGGCGAAGGCGGCCCCCUGGACAAAGACUGACGCUCAGAUGCGAAAGCGUGGGUAGCAAACAGGAUUAGAUACCCUGGUAGUCCACGCCGUAAACGCUGUCUACUUGGAGGUUGAGGUUUUAGACUUUGGCUUUCGGCGCUAACGCAUUAAGUAGACCGCCUGGGGAGUACGGCCGCAAGGUUAAAACUCAAAUGAAUUGACGGGGGCCCGCACAAGCGGUGGAGCAUGUGGUUUAAUUCGAUGCAACGCGAAGAACCUUACCUACUCUUGACAUCCAGCGAAGCCUUUAGAGAUAGAGGCGUGCCUUCGGGAGCGCUGAGACAGGUGCUGCAUGGCUGUCGUCAGCUCGUGUUGUGAAAUGUUGGGUUAAGUCCCGCAACGAGCGCAACCCUUAUCCUUGUUUGCCAGCACRUAAUGGUGGGAACUCCAGGGAGACUGCCGGUGAUAAACCGGAGGAAGGUGGGGACGACGUCAAGUCAUCAUGGCCCUUACGAGUAGGGCUACACACGUGCUACAAUGGCAGAUACAGAGGGCAGCGAGACAGCGAUGUUUAGCGAAUCCCUUAAAGUUUGUCGUAGUCCGGAUUGGAGUCUGCAACUCGACUCCAUGAAGUCGGAAUCGCUAGUAAUCGUGGAUCAGAAUGCCACGGUGAAUACGUUCCCGGGCCUUGUACACACCGCCCGUCACACCAUGGGAGUGGGCUGCACCAGAAGUAGAUAGCUUAACCUUCGGGAGGGCGUUUACCACGGUGUGGUUCAUGACUGGGGUGAAGUCGUAACAAGGUAGCCCUAGGGGAACCUGCGGCUGGAUCAC
rnacentral:rRNA from 1 species